rfam:Ovis aries breed Texel chromosome 13, whole genome shotgun sequence.
UCCCUGGUGGCUCAGACGCUAAAGCAUCUGCCUACAAUGUAGGAGACCCAGGUUCGAUCUCUGGGUUGGGAA